UUCAAAUGUAUAUAUUUCUAGGACAACCGAAUAAGCAGCAUUCAUAAAAGGAUGAAGGCUUGUCACCUGUUAGAUGAAGUGCCAAAGCUGCUAUUUGCAAAGGUCAUCCUUCCCCUCUAUUUAGCCAUUUCCAAAGUGUGUACACAUUGCAACUGAUUCCUGAAGCAUUUAACACAACUUACACUUAUUAAAACAAAAUAAACAGAAGUUUUUGCAACUCAGAAUUAAGGUCAAUGGAAAAAUGAGACUGCAGUUGUCAAACCCACUGAAAGAACAUUUAGCUGGAAAUAUUUCUAUCUAAUUCAGUUUAAUGGAAAGGGAUCAUGCUUUGUGCAACAGAAGCCAUACCAACACACUCAGACAUCAUUUAUUUCAUAAGAUUUGAAUACCAUUGAGAGUAUAAGUGUGGCAUUAAGAGGAUUCUCAUAGUAUGAUGGAGUAAUGCUGAGUAAAGUACGUUUACAUUUUGUCAACUAAUAGUUUCACUUCAUGGGCUUCAACUAAUCAGUAACAGAAACUGGAUUUAUAUAGCACUUUUCAUAAGAACAGAUGACUAAAGUGUAACAAGCAAAGCUUAGAGUAUGUAAAAAGAAACCAGUGAAAUUUGAGUUUGGAUUGACAAACAGAGAUAAACAGACCAUGUCAAACCUCCACAGACAAUGAAUUCCAAAUUCAAGGAGUGCAAUAGCAGCUGGGAAGCAUGGCAUCUCAAAGACUUCAAUAUAAAGCUGGGAGCUGUCAGGAAGCCAAUAGUGCAAGAGAUCUCAGAGGGCAACCAUGCAUAUAGAAAGGCAGCAGGUCAGUCAGGCAUUAUAAAGAGUUUAACUGUUGCAUCAUCUUCAAAGUUAAUGUUGUGAUGAUGAAUUUCAUGGGAAACCAAUGCAGUGACUUAGAAGAGUAAUGUUCCAUCAAGUCAGAAUGUGUGUGUAAAACACAGACCGGACCUGCCAACACCAUAUUAACUUAGGCUUUAAAUGUGAUGGGUAAUCACAAGGGGAUCACAAUUUUAUUAAUUUCUUCUCAGUUUCACUCCCACCCGCCAGCAGAGCAUUUCCAACUUCACUAGAACAGUGGGGCUGCAGUCUGUGCUCAGCAGUGACAGCUUGGAGCCCCUUCUCUUCAGUCAUUUGCUAAAAGGAUGGUGGUUGACAGUCCUUUUCGACCCCUGCAUUAGGAAAAGUGGGGAGUUGAGAAAGAAAAAUGCCCCUCAAAGAUUAAAAAAAAAAAAAGAAAAAAGAAAGCCCAAUAUCUGCUAACCAUGGACCACAAAGGGCAAAGCUAGGACCAGGUGAAGAAGAGAGGCUACCAUACAUGUUUCCAGGUUGCGCUGAACUCAGCAAGUGAUCAUGGAAGAAGCUGGGCCACCUGGAAAUUCUAUCCCAUUGUCUGCAAACCCCUGAUUGACUUAAUGUAAGCCAAAAAAGUAUUUAAAGAUAGAUUAACUGAA